rnacentral:rRNA from 1 species
CUUGGUCAUUUAGAGGAAGUAAAAGUCGUAACAAGGUUUCCGUAGGUGAACCUGCGGAAGGAUCAUUACAGAGACCUUGCCCUUCGGGGUAGAUCUCCCACCCUUUGUCUAUCUUACCUCUGUUGCUUUGGCGGGCCCGUCUCACGACCACCGGCUCAGGCUGGUCAGUGCCCGCCAGAGGAUCCCAAAUUCUUCUGUUAAUGUCGUCUGAGUACUAUAUAAUAGUUAAAACUUUCAACAACGGAUCUCUUGGUUCUGGCAUCGAUGAAGAACGCAGCGAAAUGCGAUAAGUAAUGUGAAUUGCAGAAUUCAGUGAAUCAUCGAAUCUUUGAACGCACAUUGCGCCCUCUGGUAUUCCGGGGGGCAUGCCUGUUCGAGCGUCAUUACAACCCUCAAGCUCUGCUUGGUAUUGGGUGUCACCGGCUCUGGUGCGCCUUAAAAUCAGUGGCGGUGCUGCCAUUCGGCUUCAAGCGUAGUAAUUCUUCUCGCUUUGGAAAAGAUGUGACGCUGCCAACAACCCCUAAUACUUCAAGGUUGACCUCGGAUCAGGUAGGGAUACCCGCUGAACUUAAGCAUAUCAAUAAGCGGAGGA